CUCUGCCUGUGUUCAGCCUUUCAGAAACCAAAAAACACUGUGGGAAAAUGGAGGUGGCAUUGAAGAAGGAAAUGAAGAGGGAGAAGGCCAGGUUGGGGCAAAGUGUGAUAUGGGGCAGAUGACAUUUACAUGGCAGAAGAAAAAAUGUCCACCUUUCCAGCCAGUCAAUGAGGAACAGGAAGAGGAACAAAAAAUUCCUUGGAAGCAAGGGCCAUCACUCCUCAUCUCUAUCUCCUGCUGCUAGCCUGGUGCUGACAUAAAGCAGUGCCCAGCAUAUAUUUGUUCAAGAAUGUUGUUGAGGGCUCUCCCCAUGGCUGUCCACCAUUUGAAUGAAUCCAGAACACCUCAGCACCAAGUUCAGGCUUCCAUCUUGCAGCAAGGUCCACUUGUGUUGGAAUUCUCAGGAAAAACUGCCAGAAGCAGUACGACUAAAACCAGGCAGAUGGAGCACAGCAACGAAGGCACUGCUCACAGCGAAAACCACAUGAGCAAAGUCAGAAUGGGGAAACUAAGACAGGAAUAAGUUGCCCAACAUCAUAUAACUAUGAAGAAAUACAAAUACAUGAGACCAAAAGAAUAUAUAUAGUGCCUUGAUACAGAGACUUGAUCAGACAAAAAAAAAAAAAUAGGUUUACUCUUGCACUUUUUCUGACCUCCCCUCUUCUUCCUAUCUACAAAGUCUUUAAUAAAUAUAUGCCAGAUUUUAUUUUCUGCAACUUUGCAAAAACAUUCCUUCGUCCCUGACCCAAGGGGUGAGAAAUCUGUUGUAAUUCUUGCUACUGGAUAUAGUUGCAGACAUAAUGCCAAG
rnacentral:lncRNA from 1 species